GUUGAACUUGAGGAGGAAGACGAGACGACAUCGACGAGGGACUUCAGCUCGUGUUCGGGAAUGGAUGCGGCAGCAAAACUAGAUUCACUCAACGUUUCAUCAAUAAAUUAAAGGCUAAAUCUGGAGACAUUGGCUCCAAACUUAAGAUUCUGCAGCAGAUUCAAAAUGACAAAUCCAAUAUCAAUGCGGAACGAACAGCGUUCUUCAUCAUGGCCUAGUUCUCGGAGAGGACCACAAUGAUUUUUACAAGACAUCUUUUGACUGUGAUGACAAUGAAGAUAUGUCCAACAUUGAAAUGUGUUCUGACAGUGAUUCCCGAGUCGUCUGCAACCGCUGCCAUACCCUACUCCCUGCAUCUUGAUGCCACAACAACGGCAAUGAUUCUGGAAGGUACAGUGGUUGUGGAUGAUCUUGAAAAUCUUCCACAAGCAAUGAGCUGUCUUUAAAGGAACACUCCACCAUUUUGUUUUUAUAUUAAACUAUGUUAUUCCCUUAACUAA